CUGGUUGUGUCAAGAGAUGCUGAUGUCCAGUAAGUAAACCCUUCCACAUCUUUCCUUUUUUUAUUUUAUUUUUAUUUUUUUAUAAAUUAUAAAUACUGAUCUCUGCACCAGAAAGGGAUUUUUGUGUAGCGAGUCAUUAUGACUCAAACAAUUUCAAAUGUUAAAUUAAACAGUUUUGAAUGUCUCAGCUUCUAGGGUUUUGAUAUCCAGAAAAUUGAAGGUUUCCCUCUUUUCAUUUGUAAAGUUAGCACAUGCCGAUCAAAUCUGCGGAAGAAUGAACUGUUCCUUCUCGCACCAAAUAGGAAUGUACAAGGUUCGGACUCUUAAACUGAUUGAUAGUUUCAUAAUUCACGUUACAGAGACUCAAGAUGCCAGUGCCCCUCAUUCCUAUUGAAAAAUCAGUCUUAGCUGCUAGAAUAAAUAUUUAUAUGAAUGGA
rnacentral:lncRNA from 1 species